UAUAUUGUUUUUUAAUUUAAUUUAUAUGCUCUACUUCUCUUUUUAUAUUUUUUAUAUUUCAUACAUUAACUACUUUCUUAAUAAGAUUUAGCUAAGUGUGCGGCUGUACAUUUUUUAUUCCAAUCAAAGACCAUAACGCGUCCAAGAAAAAAAGUUCAUUACAGCAUCGGAUCUAUGCAUAUAAAUUUCAUUUUCUAAUGGUUAACGAUAUAAAGAUUUCUUUUAACUAAUGUCUCCUUCGUAGAGAUUUUAUGUGAAUUAUUAUGCGAAUAGAAUUCAACCACAGUUACAAGGAAUGAGCAAGACAUGAAUCUGUUAAAAAGUAAAAAUAAUAAUCUUGCUUCUGGAAGAAACAAAUGUUAUAAUUCUCUUGAAAAUUUUUUAUUCAAAGCAUUAGAAAACUGAUUCACUCCGCAUAGAUGAUCAAUCAUUUUACUGAAAGAGAGAGCGCAUUAUUUUCAACAACGAUAAGAAGAAGCCGACGAUACAAAAAUCAUGAAAGAUUUGGGAAGACACCGUCUUCUUUUUAUUCACUCUGGGAAGAAACCAUGUGCAUUAAUAUUCCAUCAAAAGAAUUGAAAAAUGAAUGCAUUUUAGUUAUUUAUAAAUUAUUUUCUACAAUAAUUCUUAUUCAACUAUAAUCUCUUGCAUCUUUUUGACCAGUAUCAGUAUACAUUUAAAUUCUUGUUUCAGUUUUGGAGAUUUCUAAAACUAAUGCAGAGAAGUGUAAUGCCUAUUACUAUCGUUAUAAAAAUUUAUCUGAAAGAACGUACUCAUCACAAACAAACAUGGAACGUUGUAAGGCGUAUAGGCUGCGAAAAGAAAUGUUUUGUUACGCAAAAGAAGUAUAACUUCUUAGGUGCGCACAUAAGUCCACACACCAGUUUUUAUUGUACUGAUCGAAGCUAUUUCUUCUUGUUCAGUUAACUUCUUUGGUCGAACUGAACGGUAUUUAUUUUUAUAAUUCCUUCAGAUUUCGAUUUUUUAAUUAAGUAAUGUAUCAUAGAUCUAUUAACAUUUAAUAACACCACCUCAAAACCCUGAUAUUAAUCCGAUUGAACAUCUAUGGGCAAUAAUAGGAAAAGAAUUACAAAAAUUUAAUAUAACAUUAAAAACAAGUUUAAAAGACAAAGUACUCGAAGUAUGGAGCUCCAUAUCACUAAGUAUUACGGAAAAUUUUGUAAAGAGUAUGCAUAAUCGCUUACAAGAUAUUAUUCGUGUUAAAGGUUGUCCUACUAAAUAUUAAAGGCUUAACAAUUAUCUGUCCAAAUACUUUAGUGGCUUCAGCAAUCGGUCUUUUAAAAACUUUUAGGAUAAUUAAAUUAGCUUUUUGAAAAGUAUUUAAAAUAUUUUUAUUAAACUGUUAUUGAUCAAAGUCUUUUGACGAUAAGAAAUCAUCAAUAUAUAUUGUGUUAUAAGAAACUUAGAAUAAUAGGAACUCAUCUAGUUUAAAUCAGAUUGAGCUAAAUUAGGAAACAGUAAAACUGACUUGAUAUUUAGAGAAAAGUAUAUUUUCGAAAUAUUGAAACAAAGCGCUUGUUAUUAAUCUUGUCGAAUCAUAAACAUUGGAAACCUUGGCCGGGUUAAUUUCAAAUUUAACGUUGGAUUAUAUAGAAAAAUGUUAAAUUUGAUGGCAUCUACCUUACCGACACAAGCUUUAAAGCUUAAUUAUUGAUUUAGAAGUCAGAAAAAGCUUCCUUUUAUUAUUAUUAACUUAAAAAUACCACGGUAUUAUUUUGUAGCAAGAUUUGAUAUUUUUAUAACGAUUUAUAAAUAAAAUUUGUAAACAAAAAGAGAAAAUUUUGUGCGAAAACAACGAUAAUAAUAAUGAAAAAAAUAUAAUCUACGUUUCUGCAUGGAGUGCAGAAUUCCUUAGUACACCAAAGGAAAUAAUAAAAGCUUUAUCUGUUGAAAAGUUUUAUACUCCUACAACAAUACAAUCUUUAAUAUUGCCACCAGCGAUAUUUGGAAGAAGAAAUAUUCUUGGAGCUGCUGAAAAAGGCAGUGGGAAAACUUUAGCAUUUGGUAUUCCUCUAUUUUAAAUGGUAUAUUAGAAUUAAAGAAAAAACAUUUACACACACACAGAAAACAAGGUGAUGGAUUAGAAAAUGAAAGCUACGAGGAAGAAUUGGAAUGUUCCAAUGAUGAAGAUUCUAAUGGGAGUGAGAGUUCUGAAGAAAGUGAGGAAGAAGUAGAUAAAAAUUUUGAUAAUGUUGGUGGGAUUGGAUGUGUACGUGUGACAUAUAAUGUAAAAAUGAAGGAAAAAAAAAAAUGAAUUCUUUGCAAAAACCAAUUUACGCAUUGAUAUUAACGCCAACCAGAAAAUUAGAUAUUCAAGUAAAAGAUCAUCGUGUUAAAGCAGCCAAAUAUACUGAUAUAAAGGUAAGAAAAA
rnacentral:lncRNA from 1 species